GCCUGGAUGGGGGUGAGCGGGGUGGAGGCAGCCGCCCUUGGAACAGGGUGAACCCCAGCCGGGAGAGGGGGCUGGGCGCAUCUGGGGCAGGAGAAGAGAAGCCCCCCAGGGCCUCUGGGGUGACUCCCUCCUGCUCUCUGUUCCCUCCCAGGAGGAGAUGGCCUACACCUGGGAGGACCCCGUGCCCCACCACCUCUUCUCCCUCUGCACAGAGGCCAUUUCUUCCUUGAGUCGGAUGAAGCCCUGCUUGCAAGCGAAGAUCUAGCAAAAGCUGAUCUCAGAAUCCCUCUUCUGGAUGAGCCACAUGAUCGGAGAAGAACCAGAGGAAGACCAAGAAGUACAUGUUGACACCUCUGGCUGGGCCUGUGCUCUCUCGAGCCCGUUUCUGCCCCCGGAGAGAGCCCUGAGGAGGAUGCUCCAAGGGCUGCUUUAAGAAAAGCCCACCCUGACCCACCUCAUCAGGAUUGCAUAGGCCAUUGAUGCUGAGAUGUUCAGGGAGGAUGAGGAGGAGGCGGCCAUGGCGGAGAACGUUGGCUUCUUACUGCUCAACAUGGCCAUUGGGCCCCCUUUCUACUUUGAGGCAGAGCAGAUCAAGCCACUCCUGCCACUGGGCAUUCGCAGGGUGGGCUGAACAACAUCCAGGGCCAAGGGCGAUGGGAGCCAUUCCUCCGAUGAAGACCUCUUCGAGCCCUGAGAGGACCUGGAUUUUGGUGACCUUUUCCAGGAGUAGCCCCCUUCCACUGCAAGCCCCAGGACAAACCUGGCAAGAAAGUGAAAUGCAAGAAGAAGAGCCCCAUCUAUGCCAAGAAGAUGAGGAGGGUCUUGCCCAGCUGGAGGUACAUGAUACCUAGAAGGAGAUGAUCUUUGUACGCAGGCGACACAGCAGUGCCAGAAGCGGGUUGCCGAACUCCGCCAAGAAGAGGAGCUGCUCAAGCGGGAGAGAGAGUAGCGAGAGGCAGAGCGCCCUCUGGAGCAGGAGCAGCGCCUUCACCCAAAGCAGCAUCGACAGGAGCAAGAGAUGCUUCUGCCUCAACAGCAACAGCCAGCCGAGCUCCCCCCAGAGGCUCCACUGUCUUCCCCCCAGGAGAGGAUCCCCAUGUGGUUCUCACCACCUUGGAAUGGGCUGAGCAGAACCAGGAUCUCCAGGAGAGCAAGUCCAUGAGUGGGGUACCCAGUGUGGUUGUCCAUGGGGAUCUGGCCAAGGGUUGUAGUCAUGUGUCAGAAGGAGGGGAUGUUACCUAAAGCCUGGCUGCUUUGACCUGAAAAAAUUCUGAAUAAUAUCAUGAAGUAAACAUGUGAUGUCAUUUGUACAGUCGGUAUCAGCGUCAAGGUGCUGGACUGACUUGGCCUGAACCAAGUAUAUUCUAGAGACCCUAAAGACCUUGGACGAAGGUUUAUGGACAGAGGGACAGGAAAUGUCUUGUGGGCAGCUGAAAUCGCUGGCCAACGGAAGUUUCUCAAAAGGGAGUCUCUUGUCAAAAAGAAAAGGAAUCACAAGAAUGUGGACAUAGGCAGACCUUGUAACUUUGUGCAACAGGUGACCUUGUGGACUAACGACCAUGUGGUUCAGUGGUCACAGACUAUGGGGACUUUGGGCUCUAAGUGGCAAAGGUGGUCCUGGACGCUGCAAGAGUCACAGAUGCGGGUCCAGCAUGUGCCUGGCAAAGAAAACACCCUCAAGGAGUUUUCUCUGUCUGGAGAAGGGGAAUCUCAGCCUGGAAGGAUGGCCUGGACGUGGCACACAAGUACCCUCAGAAGACAAGUGCUGAAAUCACUGAGCCCCAGACCUCUGCCAAGAGCAGGACAAGAGACUGUCCAGCCAGCCAAGGGAGAGAAUCCAGAGAACUCUGUGCAGGGACCAGUGUAGGGUGUUAGGGUAGUGGGUGCGUUUCUUUCCAACCUUUUAUUUUCCCCUGGGAUGUUCUUUUGGUAGGUUUGUUUUGAGUUUGCAUUUUUGCCGUAAAAGUAAUGCUUGAAUUGAACUGGGUUUUUUUAAAGUAAACUUUCUUAUUCUAUCAAGA